GCAGUAGUGGUUAGUGGUAGAAUUCUUGCCUUCCAUGCAGGUGACCAGGUUCAAUUCCUGGCCAAUGCA
rnacentral:tRNA from 1 species